UCAUCUCCCGUGUUGGUGUGUGUCUCUCGCCCUCGGUGCUGUCUCCAUGUGCGCGUUGUGCGUUCGCCGGGGAGUGUCCAUGGAGGCCGGGGCCCGCCGGUUCUCUCCAUCCGCUGCUGGAUACGCGGCGUACAGAGGGUACUGCUGCUGCGUAGCAGUACGUAGGAACGAGCGUACGCCAUGAUGCCCGGCAUUCACCUACCGCCACCGGUGCCGGUGGUGCAUUGCCGAGGAAGGCUCGCUCUGUUCGUUUCCGGGCUUGGAAGUGGCAGGCCGUGUCCCGCCAUGAACGGGUGCUUAUCCAUUUUAGGGCGUGUUUUGUCUCCCCCGUCUGCCGUGUCAAGGUGGGAAAUGCUGGUGCUAUGCGUCCGUGGUUUCUUCGGGGGAAAAUAUGCGCCCGUGGUUUCUCCGCAAUUCUCGAGGGUCCGAUUUUUCGGAUUUCACUUUACCGACUCUAAGAGACUCUAAGAGCAUCUACAGGUAGGCUGCAAACGAGUCGAGUUCCAAUGAGUUGUACUUGACUCGGCUCAGUUCAUAUUAAAAUUCAAGCGUGUACAAACCCACUGAAGCUCAAGAUCGAGCCGUAA
rnacentral:lncRNA from 1 species